rnacentral:tRNA from 1 species
GGGGCCGUAGCUCAGGGGUAGAGCGCCUGUGUUGCAAGCAGGAUGUCGGGGGUUCGAGACCCUCCGGCUCCA